rnacentral:rRNA from 1 species
AUGGGCGCGGCUACAGAGGAGGCGGAGGAGAAGGCGGACGUCGUGCGCUUGCUACACGGCUACAACCGAGGCGGAGGAGAAGGCGGAUGCCAUGGCCUUGCUGCGCUCAUGGGCGUUCUUGAGGAUGUGCCAUCCUUCUUCCGUGAUGCUGCUGCAUGCCAGGAUUCGCAGUGGCACCGCCGCAACCAGCAAGGACACAAGAUCACGAGGAUUGUUGCCGCUUCCGAGGACAUGGGAGCUGCCAUAGCCAGCGAGUACGUGAGCACACACAGUCACCAUCACUUAAGAGGAUGCGAGAGCCAUCUCAGCUUGAGAGGAUGCGCAUACCAUCUCCGGUGUGUGCAACAAGUGUUCUUCUAA